UUUAGCCAAAUUGAUGAUCGUU
rnacentral:miRNA from 1 species